UACGUAGGGGGCAAGCGUUGUCCGGAAUUAUUGGGCGUAAAGAGCUCGUAGGCGGUUCAGUAAGUCGGGUGUGAAACCCCCCAGCUCAACCUGGGGACGGCCACCCGAUACUGCUGUGACUAGAGUCCAGUAGGGGAGAGGUGGAAUUCCCGGAUCGUAGCGGUGAAAUGACGCAGAUAUCGGGAAGAACACCUAUGGCGAAGGCAGCUCUCUGGGACGGUACUGACGCUGAGACGCGAAAGCGUGGGGAGCAAACAGG
rnacentral:rRNA from 1 species